rnacentral:rRNA from 1 species
CCUACGGGUGGCAGCAGUGAGGAAUAUUGGUCAAUGGGCGCGAGCCUGAACCAGCCAAGUAGCGUGAAGGAUGACUGCCCUACGGGUUGUAAGCUUCUUUUAUAAGGGAGUAAAGUGAGGCACGUGUGCCUUUUUGUAUGUACUUUAUGAAUAAGGAUCGGCUAACUCCGUGCCAGCAGCCGCGGUAAUCCGGAGGAUCCGAGCGUUAUCCGGAUUUAUUGGGUUUAAAGGGAGCGUAGAUGGGUUGUUAAGUCAGUUGUGAAAGUUUGUGGCUCAACCUUACAACUGCAAUUGAUACUGGCAGUCUUGAGUACAGGUGAGGUAGGCGGAAUUCGUGGUGUAGCGGUGAAAUGCUUAGAUAUCACGAAGAACUCCGAUUGCGAAGGCAGCUUACUAAACUGCCACUGACAUUGAGGCUCGAAAGUGUGGGUAGCAAACAGGAUUAGAUACCCCUGUAGUC